AACGCGAAGAACCUUACCAGGUCUUGACAUCCCUCUGACCGGUACAGAGAUGUACCUUUCCUUCGGGACAGAGGAGACAGGUGGUGCAUGGUUGUCGUCAGCUCGUGUCGUGAGAUGUUGGGUUAAGUCCCGCAACGAGCGCAACCCUUGAUCUUAGUUGCCAGCAAUUCGGUUGGGCACUCUAAGGUGACUGCCGGUGACAAACCGGAGGAAGGUGGGGAUGACGUCAAAUCAUCAUGCCCCUUAUGACCUGGGCUACACACGUACUACAAUGGCUGGUACAACGGGAAGCGAAGCCGCGAGGUGGAGCCAAUCCUAUAAAAGCCAGUCUCAGUUCGGAUUGCAGGCUGCAACUCGCCUGCAUGAAGUCGGAAUUGCUAGUAAUCGCGGAUCAGCAUGCCGCGGUGAAUACGUUCCCGGGCCUUGUACACACCGUAGUAC
rnacentral:rRNA from 1 species